UGGGGAAUAUUGCACAAUGGAGGGAACUCUGAUGCAGCGACGCCGCGUGAACGAAGAAGGCUUUCGAGUCGUAAAGUUCUUUUAUAUGGGAAGAUAAUGACGGUAUCAUAAGAAAAAGCCCCGGCUAACUACGUGCCAGCAGCCGCGGUAAUACGUAGGGGGCUAGCGUUGUCCGGAAUCACUGGGCGUAAAGGGUUCGCAGGCGGAAAUGCAAGUCAGGUGUAAAAGGCAGUAGCUUAACUACUGUAAGCAUUUGAAACUGCAUAUCUUGAGAAGAGUAGAGGUAAGAGGAAUUUUUAGUGUAGCGGUGAAAUGCGUAGAUAUUAAAAAGAAUACCGGUGGCGGAGGCGACUUACUGGGCUCAUUCUGACGCUGAGGAACGAAAGGGUGGGUAGCAAACAGG
rnacentral:rRNA from 1 species